rnacentral:lncRNA from 8 species
AAGAUGUAGGCUAUGAGAAUUAUAUUAUUAUACGUUUAUAUCCAGUUUUAAGAAGAAAUAGAGGACAAUGGCGGUGAUGUCAACUCGUAUGUUUUCCCAUCCGGUAAGACAGGUGGCUCUUAGUUCAACAACUCGUAUGUUUUCCCAUCCGGUAAGACAGGUGGCUCUUAGUUCAACAACUCGUAUGUUUUCUCAUCCGGUAAGACAGGUGGCUCUUAGUUCAACAACUCGUAUGUUUUCCCAUCCGGUAAGACAGGUGGCUCUUAGUUCAACAACUCGUAUGUUUUCCCAUCCGGUAAGACAGGUGGCUCUUAGUUCAACAACUCGUAUGUUUUCCCAUCCGGUAAGACAGGUGGCUCUUAGUUCAACAACUCGUAUGUUUUCCUAUCCGGUAAGACAGGUGGCUCUUAGUUCAACAACUCGUAUGUUUUCCCAUCCGGUAAGACAGGUGGCUCUUAGUUCAACAACUCGUAUGUUUUCUCAUCCGGUAAGACAGGUGGCUCUUAGUUCAACAACUCGUAUGUUUUCUCAUCCGGUAAGACAGGUGGCUCUUAGUUCAACAACUCGUAUGUUUUCCCAUCCGGUAAGACAGGUGGCUCUUAGUUCAACAACUCGUAUGUUUUCUCAUCCGGUAAGACAGGUGGCUCUUAGUUCAACAACUCGUAUGUUUUCCCAUCCGGUAAGACAGGUGGCUCUUAGUUCAACAACUCGUAUGUUUUCCCAUCCGGUAAGACAGGUGGCUCUUAGUUCAACAACUCGUAUGUUUUCCUAUCCGGUAAGACAGGUGGCUCUUAGUUCAACAACUCGUAUGUUUUCUCAUCCGGUAAGACAGGUGGCUCUUAGUUCAACAACUCGUAUGUUUUCUCAUCCGGUAAGACAGGUGGCUCUUAGUUCAACAACUCGUAUGUUUUCUCAUCCGGUAAGACAGGUGGCUCUUAGUUCAACAACUCGUAUGUUUUCUCAUCCGGUAAGACAGGUGGCUCUUAGUUCAACAACUCGUAUGUUUUCUCAUCCGGUAAGACAGGUGGCUCUUAGUUCAACAACUCGUAUGUUUUCCCAUCCGGUAAGACAGGUGGCUCUUAGUUCAACAACUCGUAUGUUUUCCCAUCCGGUAAGACAGGUGGCUCUUAGUUCAACAACUCGUAUGUUUUCCCAUCCGGUAAGACAGGUGGCUCUUAGUUCAACAACUCGUAUGUUUUCCCAUCCGGUAAGACAGGUGGCUCUUAGUUCAACAGUUGUGACUUCUAAUCCUACAUGGGGCAGAUAUAUGUCUUGUGUUUUAUUCCAAAUCCCUUAUUUACUUAACUCAUCCCGCGCCCACACACUUCUAAUUCUGAAAAGUGAAAGCAGGCCUGUGAGGGGGGGGUAGUAGUAGUCAUUUCAUAUUUCGGAAAAAGAGCUGCGAGUUGAAUUGAUCCCCUAAUCAUUUGCAAGGUGAUGAUUGCACUUUUCUUCCCAACACAUUACAUCACAAUCCUUCACACCGCAAUACAUGUGAGUCCACAUUUCAAUGAUUUUUUUGGGGGGGGG